rnacentral:lncRNA from 1 species
CAGGCCAGGACCUGCUAGCAGAAUUGGUUAUGCUGUCCAUGAAGAUACAUCAUCAGGGAUCUGAGCUCCAAAACUGAGAGCUGAAAUAGCUUCUUCUCAAUCAACUCUGACUGUUUUUGCCUCUUACUUUAAUUUAGUGGAGAAACUGAGAGGAUGCAAAAUUGUAUGUAGGAGGCUUGAUCUAAAGACUUACAAAAAUUAGUGCAAAUUAUUCUGUGUCUUGAAUGAGGAGUAUGAAAGAUAUCUCAGUAAGAGAGGAUGGAAGACCAACCCAAUGAUAUCAGUGAAAUGUCAUCAUGCUACAGAAGAAAUGGACAAUCAAAUAUUUAGAGAUUUGGAACUGAA